ensembl:lncRNA
ACGGCAAUCUCCGUUUCAGUUUUUGUUUUUAAACACAAACAGCCACCGAGGCGACCAAUGAGAACGCCACAAUGGCGGAAAACAACAAUGACAGCUAUGUCAGAAAUGACGACAGGUGACAUUUCUUUCUAUUCAGGAGUGUGAGAGAAGUUGUUGAAGUGAUCACGAGGAUUAACUGUGGGAUGGGCCUUCGGGGGGAUCGCGUGCCACAGGUGUAAAAUGUUAUGUCGUUGUGUUCUUCGCUCCUGGCAACCGAAGACGAGGCAGUGCUAAUAAAUACUGUACUUUGGUGCCGGAGGAAAUGCGCCGUGUUCUUGUUCUUUUCUCGAGGAGGCAUCUUUUGACAGGCUGCCCGGCGAGCUUUCACUGCAGCUUCCUUUUUUAAACCGCGAGCUUCUGCAAGCUGAUGAGACAGUGACAGUUGACCCCGAUGUAAACAGCCGGUAUCCUGGUAACCGGGUGGUGGGCAAGAAUGUGCAAAAGGAAAGCAUCAUUUUUAAACAAUUAUGGGGGAAAAAAAAAGAAAGAGAGACGGUGAAGACACAGGAAGAUGAGAAGGAGGCGUUUGGCGUGAGAACCACGCCAAGUGUCAGUGGAAGUGCCAAAACAUUUACUGACGAGAGCUGUUUAUACGUGACUGCGGGUGAGGUGCUGAUGCAUGCAGUGGCUGGCAGUCUCCACCUGCUGCGCCUGCAGCAAUGAAAGUCGGGGGAAGAUAUAAAACAUUGGAAUUUUUGCCGCUUCCGUCUCCUUUGAGAUCCGAACGUUGAGCCCCUGAAGCUGCCCUUUGCCGCCGCGGCCGUCUCCAAUUGAAUCCUCUCAGCCAGAGCAGAGAUUUGACCCGGCGUACCUCUGCUGAUAACAUCUGCACUUCUGCACAAUCUGAACUUUCCCGUAUUUGUUCUCCGACCAGCUGCAUCUUGCAGCGGAACAGGGCCCCCGAUACGUAUCUCAGAUACGUUUCACACACACCUUUGUGCCGACGGACCGAACAAAAGUCACCACAAUGGUGCAGCUGCAGGGGGAAUGCAUGUGCACUGGAACCGUCCCGCGCUGACCUCCGGCCUCGGCCAUGAGUACAACAGAGUCAGCGCUCUGAGCUAAAUACAGUCGAUUCUAGUGCUUGAAUGCCGAGAAAGGAGCAGGAACAGGAUGUCCCCAAUCGAAACGAGGAGAAAGAAUGCGUAGACUCAAGACGGACGGGCAGUUUCCCAUGACACAAUCAUCGCUACUUCCUGGAGCUGCGAGGUUUCGUACACAAACAGGUCGUGUGGAAUGUGGACCCCGGCAGGUCGGCCGAUGGACCUGAGGGUGAGAGCUGGUGUAACAGCUACGUGUCCAGCAGGCAACCAUUAACCCCGCGUCCCGUCCGCCCACAGACUCUGGCAAACACGCGUGUGUGUAAAACGCGAUGCCUUCAUCCCCUCUCACAACCUGACUUGAGUGACCUUUGACCUUGCUCGCGGACGAACCCCUCCCUCUGGGCCAGAGCAAGACUGUGAUGCUGUUGCACUUGAGAUAUGGAUGACCAAGCAGGAUUUGUUGUAUCUCCGUCUUUGUGGGUCACUAUAAAUGAUGGUCCUGCAGCUUUUUUGUUACUGGUAGAUUUAAACAGAUCGCAUUUCUCUAAAUAACAAUAAGGAGGAAGAACACUUCGACUGGGGAGAUAAUAAACAAGUUGUAGCUCGUCAAUGUAAAUGUAAAUUGUGUUCCAUAUAUUUUACAUUUAAAACACGC